rnacentral:rRNA from 1 species
GAGUUUGAUCGUGGCUCAGGAUGAACGCUAGCGGCAGGCCUAAUACAUGCAAGUCGAACGGUAACAGGUCCAGCAAUGGACGCUGACGAGUGGCGCACGGGUGCGUAACACGUAUGCAACCUACCUGUAACUGGGGAAUAGCCCGGGGAAACUCGGAUUAAUACCCCAUAAAAUCCUUUGAGGGCAUCUGAAGGGGAUUAAAGAUUUAUCGGUUACAGAUGGGCAUGCGGCUGAUUAGUUAGUUGGUUAGGGUAACGGCCUACCAAGACGAUGAUCAGUAGGGGUUCUGAGAGGAAGGUCCCCCACACUGGUACUGAGAUACGGACCAGACUCCUACGGGAGGCAGCAGUAGGGAAUAUUGGGCAAUGGGCGAGAGCCUGACCCAGCCAUGCCGCGUGCAGGAAGAAGGCCCUCGUGGUUGUAAACUGCUUUUGAUCGGGAACAAAGAGUCCAUGCGUGGACAGUUGAGUGUACCGAUAGAAUAAGCACCGGCUAACUCCGUGCCAG